rnacentral:rRNA from 1 species
CGGGACGGGUGAGUAAUGUCUGGGAAACUGCCUGAUGGAGGGGGAUAACUACUGGAAACGGUAGCUAAUACCGCAUAACGUCGCAAGACCAAAGAGGGGGACCUUAGGGCCUCUUGCCAUCGGAUGUGCCCAGAUGGGAUUAGCUAGUAGGUGGGGUAAUGGCUCACCUAGGCGACGAUCCCUAGCUGGUCUGAGAGGAUGACCAGCCACACUGGAACUGAGACACGGUCCAG